ACGCUGUGAUGGCUGAAAUGAUGAGGAACAGCUGGAGGAUCCAGGAACCACAACCAACUCAGGAUACAGCAUCCAAAGGUCUGAAGACAGAAGGCCUGACAGAGUUACCCACCAAACCAUCAAGUGCUGAUAUGACAGGAGACACUCUGACAAGGAGCAGAGCUGGAAUAACCCCUUCACCCAUUGCAAAGUUGCUGUCCUGCGGGAGGUGAGACCCUGGUACCCCCACAGCUGUGACCAGUGCAACACAGAUGAAAACCAUGCCUGCGGAUCUUGGCUUCCAAAACCUGAUUCCUGAAGGGGACUGGAAUUGCUGGAGGGGCCCAUCUGCACCAACCACCCACACCUGCCUUCCAGCCAAAGCCACUCAAGGAGCAUCAUGCAGCAGGGCUCAGUGCAAGCUGUCAGUGCCCAGUGUUCCCCAAGGCCUGGUGUUACUUGGGGCACUGCCCUGCACAAGCCCUUCCCCGCCUGACAUCUGAACCCAGGCUCCCCAGCAGUGCCCAGGCUCAGUGCUGACCCAGCCUUCCCCACAGCCCAUCUGCUGAACUCACCCCAGAUGAAAGGCCUCAAAUGACAGGAUAGAGUGCCGAGAGCUGGCAGCAGAGAUUUCUUCUGCAGACAUCUUGCUGGCUGUUUUAAGGUCUUCUGCCUCUAAGUGGCACCAUGCUGAGUGAUUGAACACUUGCUAGAAUCUGUUCUACCUUUUAUUGUAAUGAUUUCUUACAGAGCUCCCACUUUCCAAACUCUGAACUUCCUGGAUGUCAGAGCCCUUUCGUCAGAAACACCAGAGCCUUCUGGAGUGAUGGUCCCCAGUACUACAAAAUCCCUUUGGAAAGUCACAGCUCUGAAACCAUCACUGGGAAAGACUGAACUUUAGUUUUUAGAGAAGGCUGUUAUAUCCCUGGGGUUUGUAAUGAGAGAUAUUACUAAAAUCCAGCCAGGGAGAGCUUCACUGGUAUAAACUGCCAGAGGGUUACACUGAAUCAUACCUAUGCACGACCGGGGUUUAUGGUUUAGUAUUUGCUUAAAGUAAUUAGGCCCAGACUGUCUCAUAUGCAACUUUUACUCAGAAAGCAGGAAACAAUUUGGGAGGGGAAUAGAGGGUGUCCCAGAAUGGAUGGGUCCAAUCUAAACACACAUAUGCACACACACACUUACCCUGGGAGUCCUGAAACCACUGGAGUAAACUGUACUCCUCAAAUUAGCCAUCCAGCACAAGAAAUGUUGCAUUUCUUAAACCAGAAGGAAUUAAUCUCCUCUCAGUGCCAUAAUGGGCUCAUAAUUCUAAAAUAUUCAGAUAUUCAACCAUCUACCAUGUUAUCUGCCUUUGCUUUACUGCUUUAUGAUCCUCACACAUUUUGCAGAGUUUGAGGCUGUUUGCUCUACUUCAAAAUGCAGUCAGGUUUCCUGUUCCCAUGCAAGAAAACAAAUCCACAGCCCAAACUCCUCUACCUCACAACAACGAACAAGCUAGGCAGGAAAAUCAUUGACACUUUAAGAGGACUAGAAAAAAAGUACACCAAGAGGAAAGUUUUUCUGUAUUUGAGGAGGUUGUCACGAUAGUAAUAGAGUACAGUGAGUAGUGGAGACUGGGAGAUUUAUGUGCCAAUUCUGUGUAUGAUUUAUUUAGAUGAAUUGCUCUGUAUCAAUAUGUAAAAAUCUAAUAAAUAUAACUCCCUAUACAAAGGGUUGCUCUAGUCCCAGUGUUAUAGUGAACAGUUUUGGCAGAAAGUCAGGAUGUGCAUUAAAAACACACUUUUUGAGAAGUCUAAUAAAUAAAAGCUCUGAAAUGUAGUUUCCUACUGAGAAUGGCAUUUUAAAUCAUUUUGAUAAAGAACUUCAAUUAGGCCUUAAAAGGAGGGGGAUGCUAGGUCCCUGAAACUAAUUAUUUAUAGGUAUUUUGAAUAUCCAAGUCCCAGAAAGCUGGCCUCCAUCCCCCAUUCUCUGCCACAAUACGUGGGAAAGAAACAGCCAUUCCCCUUCCCCCCCAACCAAAUUAAAAGUCUGAAGUGUUAGAAAGGGGAGGAGAAAAAGAGAAUUAAAAUGGGGAACAGGCACCUGAACAAGGAGCUUCAGAAGUCCCAAAAAACCCCUGCACAUUUGCUACCAAAAUAAAUGGUAUGAGCAGGGGAUAGGCCUUCAGUUCUCCUCCACAUUGCUCCAGAGAAGUGGGCUGUUAAUGGCUCUAGUCCCCCAAAGAAGGAAUACACUGUUAUUUGUUAAACAGCAGCAGGAAUGUUUUUAGAAGUGAAUAAGCACCCAAACAGCCCCAGUCUUUCUCAACGUCAAAGCAAUUUAGAGACUGCACAGAAGACAAAAUUGUUGGUGACUUAAGCUUCUAAGUCACUUAGGUGCUUCUGAAUACAUUACCUCUCAAGCGCAGCUGACAUUUUGCAUCUGUGCAGCCGCCCA